AGAUUGUGAAUAUUGUCUCAAGAAUACAAACAUGGCAAAGAGAACAGAUGCAGGACUUUGGAAUAUGAUGUUGCUGAUUCUUUGAUUUUAUAUCAUCCACAUGUCUUUAUAGGAAUUGUUUUCAAUGGAACUUCUAUUCUUUUUCUGCAAUAAUGGACGCAAGACUUACAUUCAGGGAAUAUUGAACAUUUAAGGAAUUUCUAUAUAGAGUCAGAUUUCUUAGAUUCCAGAUACUAACCCCAACAACUCAUGGACCUAAUGGAGCAUGCACGUAUUCGGCAUCGACAACGGCGACAGUCAAUGAGUUAUUCACAACAACAAGCAUAUUUGGCACGACCAUGUGCAAUAGCUCAAGGAAAGCGACUAAUGGUGGAAACUAGCCCAAGCAACAAAACUGAACAAGCUCGAGGAAAUGUACGAAAUAGGCGCCCUCAACAAAAGAAAAAGUUCCAAAGAGACGAGGGCUUUAGGAGACGUGUUUCUGUGUUUUCAUUUGGUUGGCGGAUGGGACAAUCAGUAAAAAUGAACACCGCUUAUCUCAGUGAGCUGAUUUUAAAGAGUGGAAGAAAAAGAAGCAUGCACAUUGGCGAUACAAAAACGCACGUAGAGAGUUGAUGACACUUGAUAUUUAUCACAUUAAACGAACUUGGAGAAAGGUUUUGCGCAUUAGGAGGCAAAAGCAUCGUGAACAAAACAGCUUUUUAGCUAAGUUCUACAUCAAGCAUUUUCAGAAGUUGAGGCAUAAUACUGAGAAUUCUUCCAAUAAUUGGAGCAAAGGUGUUGCAGUAAAGGAAUUAUCUAACUUCAUGUUUGGGCAGCGACUGAUGACAAAUGGAUGGCUGAGAUGGAGUUGAUUAGAGCAUGUGGACUUUACUUUAUUGAACAAAUAUGUAUAUAGGCACUUUGUGGAAGUUUCUUUUUAAAAAGUACAUUUCUAUU